rnacentral:snRNA from 1 species
GUGCUCACUUUGGCAGCACAUAUACUAAACUUGGAAUGAUACAGAGAUUAGCAUGGCCCCUGUGCAAGGAUGGCAUGCAAAUUCAUGAAGCAUUUCGUAUUUAA